GGCGAACGCUGGCGGCGUGCUUAACACAUGCAAGUCGAACGGAAAGGCCCUGCUUUUGUGGGGUGCUCGAGUGGCGAACGGGUGAGUAACACGUGAGUAACCUUCCCUUGACUUUGUGAUAACUUCAGGAAACUGGGGCUAAUACCGGAUAUGAUCUCCUGCUUCAUGGUGUGGGUUGGAACGUUUCGGCGGUUGGGGAUGGACUCGCGGCUUAUCAGCUUGUUGGUGGGGUAGUGGCUUACCAAGGCUUUGACGGGUAGCCGGCCUGAGAGGGUGACCGGCGAAAUGGGGACUGAGAGACGGCACAGACUACUACGGGAGGCAGCAGUGGGGAAUAUUGCACAAUGGGAGGAAGCAUGAUGCAGCAACGCAGCGUGCGGGAUGACGGCCUUCGGGUUGUAAACCGAUUUAGCAUGUGACGAAGAGUGAGUGACGGUAAUGGGUAAAGAAGCACCGGCUAACUACGUG
rnacentral:rRNA from 1 species